CCUACGGGAGGCAGCAGUGAGGAAUAUUGGUCAAUGGACGCAAGUCUGAACCAGCCAUGCCGCGUGCAGGAAGACGGCUCUAUGAGUUGUAAACUGCUUUUGUACGGGGGUAAACGCAGACACGCGUAUCUGUCUGAAAGUAUCGUACGAAUAAGGAUCGGCUAACUCCGUGCCAGCAGCCGCGGUAAUACGGAGGAUUCAAGCGUUAUCCGGAUUUAGUGGGUUUAAAGGGUGCGUAGGCGGUCGGAUAAGUUAGAGGUGAAAUCCCGAGGCUCAACUCCGGAAUUGCCUUUGAGACUGUUCGGCUAGAGAGUAGUUGCGGUAGGCGGAAUGUAUGGUGUAGCGGUGAAAUGCUUAGAGAUCAUACAGAACACCGAUUGCGAAGGCAGCUUACCAAGCUACUACUGACGUUGAGGCACGAAAGCGUGGGGAGCAAACAGGAUUAGAUACCCCUGUAGUC
rnacentral:rRNA from 1 species